CUUAAAUAAAAGGACCUUUUAAAAUAUCUCAUACAGGUAUAUUAGUGACGAGUAGGUGGGAUGAACUUAACUGCAUGUUUGAAGAUUUUUAGGGUAGAACAUCUGGUUUAACUUUUUGGGGUAAACGCUUUUUGGGUACAAAGACUUUUAGGAAUCUUAAAGGGGUACUGUUUUCUGUGGAAGGUAUGCGAAGGUGUGCGAAAGGGUAAACCUUUUCUCUCAAAAGUGGUAUAUAUAAAAGGUUAAGGGUUUGGAUCUCGGGGCGGGGCCUCUGCUUAUAAAACUUUGUUCGAUCCCCCCUCCAGGAGUGAUAUCUGUAGCGACGUAGAUAAAAAUUAUGCGAAUUUAACGCAGUCAAAGUUGGGUGAGGAAUGGCUUUUUAGUAAAGAUUACACGGGGCUGGAUGUAAACCUGCCAUUAUGAGAUAACGAGAAGAUCGAAUAUUCAUGUCCUGUUUUUCUUUUUCUUUGCCUCGCGCGAUUGUUCACAUUUAGAGCUUGAUCAAUUGAAAAUUGGGCAUGUUUAGUGUGGUAGAGAGAUAUGGAUAUAACAGUCAAAAAUGAAGAAUGCACGAUGUUUGUUUGCACGGCUUGAUUCAGAUACGGAGUCCUAGCAUUCCUUUAAGACUACGUUUAGACUAGAGGAUGUUUUUCCGGAUUCGUAAAUGUUUCCAAUUAAAAUAUUUCAACGUACGAGGAUACGGGGAGUUUUUAUUUCGGAUUCGUCCACUUGUAGGUAAACGGCAAAACUAGUCCGGAACGUCUUAGUACGGGAUCGUCACGAAUCCCGAACAAUAUCCUCUAGUGUAAACCUAGUCUAAGUAUAAUGAAAAAAAUUACGAGGUGAUAAUUGCAUGAAGACUAAUUUCUUGUCGAUCCUGUCUAACUUUUUCAACAGUAACUGAGAUUGGAGGAACUGUUUUCUUAAAGCUUAACCUAACAGCGUUAGGUUGGCACACGGAUCCUGUGGAUUACUUUGUCCUGGCGUGGAAUAACGUAAGCCAUCCCAUUGUAAAGUUACAAAAUGGUGCUGAACAUGCCGACUGCUACAAUGACCUUUCGUUUCUAAGGUCAGCUCUGUGUGCUGAUUUCAAUGUGAGGUUUAUAGAGUCCAAAGUUGUCGGCAUCGGAAUAAGAGUCAUCUCUGAGGCAAUAGCUGCAGACUACAUAUUUUAUGCCUAUUACCUCGGGGCAAAGCACAACUUGAGCUUGGUGCAGAUUAGUGUCUAUCUCAAAGACAACCCAAAUACAACGUCAGGAGAGUCACACACAGUCUUGAGACCCACCCAGCUCCCUUCUGAGGCCAACACGAACACAACAGCUCCGGUUAGGAAUCAAGCUUUACGAUCAGGCAUUUCUUUUUCACUGAUGUUCGUCGCUGUCUCAUCUUAUUUUAUGGUUGUAUUAUCUCUCAGUGAAAUCAAUCUUAACAGGACAAGAAGCUGAAUGAUGAGCAAGACGAAGUGGAAAAUCAGCAGUUUGGACUUCAUCAGUUUUGAUACGCAUUUAGGGUUCUGUGCUCUUGGAUGCAGCUUUGUUGCCAUCUAUUUUUGUAAUAGAAAUAAAAAGAAAAUUAACUUUUUCAGUAAAAGGUUGUACUGUGACACUGUUUCCUUGCAAUUGUGUCGUACCGUGAGAUGUCUAUCCACUAUAAACAAACACACGUCGCAGGUGUGUGGACGUUUUUAACGUUAUGCGGAUCAGAUGUAGCCUCCAACGCAGACGCUCUUAUGGUUCGUCACGCAAUCUUUCUCCCUACGAGGAGGGGAAGGAAGAGUGCGUGACGGAAGGAUUUGGCCAACGCUCGCGAACGUCCUUUAUAAUGCAAUGCGGCGUAACCUCCCUCACGUCAUCGAUCAUGCACCCGAGCUCUUGUUUCCUGGCCAGGUAUGUGGGUUUUCCCACAGGCCACACAGUCUUUUAGUGUGCGCCAGAACCACUUAUAAUCCUUACGGCGUUUUGUGUGGUUCGUAAUCCUCGCCGCGCCGCGUCCCAUGGGCUUGAAUGCCGAGAGAGUGAUACACGGCGUUUGCAGGCAAAAGUCACAGGCCCCCAGGCACAGGUCGCAACAUCGAUUUCAUGAUCUCCACCAGGUCCGGUAGUGGGCUGCUGAUCUUUCGGAGGCGCAACUUCAGCUUGGCUGGACGUAGUAUCAUGUCUCUGGAAGAGGCGAACUGGCGGCAGUGGCUCUGGACCUACAUCCCUUUGCACGGCAAAAUGUUUGC